UUGAAUCCAUUCUACAAACCCUGUGAACUGUAUGUAAAAGAGUGUUUUGGCAGGAAGAUUCGGCAGCUAGCCGAGUCGUGUCUCUCUGCGAGGGCUAGCGCGCGUGGUUUACCUUUUGCGCUACUCUUGUGGAUGAGCGACUGCCAUCCGCUCACCUUUAAAUAAAAACGCUUUAAACAAUUAUUACUGAUACAAACAAAUAAACUAAAA
rnacentral:misc_RNA from 1 species